rnacentral:lncRNA from 1 species
AGGAAAGGAAAGGAAAAGAAAAAAGCACUGAUGAUUCAGCCUCCAGGCUCUCCAGAAGACCUACAGAAAAGCAAAAUGCAAAGUUGUGCUUGCAAGUCCUACUGUGGCUUCUCAUGUUAUUAGAAAUAAUUUAUUUCCCAACACUGCUAAAGAGGAACUGGGACAACUCAGGGUAAUUAUUAGACCACUUUUGUACAUUACCCUGCCAGGAGGAAAAAGACCAACAAUCUGUAUUUUGCAGUAAUGGAUUACAACAGUACGCAAAGUUUAGAUUAUGUAUUCAUGUCACUACAUUUCAGCAGGACUUUUGUUUGAAUGAGACUAAGGGACUAGCCCAGUACAUCCUACUUGUAUGCAUCAGCUCACUGAUCUCUGAGGUGGAUUGAUUUGGAUUCUUGUUACCUCAGGGAAGACUUUAUAACUGUUUUGUUAAGAUUUUUUUUUUGCUUAUUUUAAUCAUAACAGUACCUAAAAAGACUGUCAGGAACUGCGACCCUACUGUGUGCCAUCAUAUGGGACCUGCUGUACAACUAUAAAACCGAAAGAAUAGCCCAUGUUCUUUAAGAACUUCUUUUCUGAGGAUGAGGAAGGAUAAAACAGGGAUACAGAGGGACUGGGUGUCCAAGGAGUCGAUGCAUCUGCUUGUCACCUUCACUUACUGGUCCCUGGUCUACAUUUCUGACUGCUGUCUGCAGGAUCCUGUAGGAGUCUUGUACACACCUCACUGACGUGCUCUGCCCUGCUUCUUUCAGGAUAUGCAUCCUAUCCUACAAUCAAGGAGUAAUCAGCAAGGCAGGUUUAGCAUGGACAUGUACUAAAAAGAAGAGCUCCUCAGUAUGCUGCUUUGGACAUGGAUGGAUUAAAGGUUCACUGCACACUGACAGGCCCAAAUCUGCAUGAGAAUGUCGCCUUGGCAGCUUGCUGCAGCCCGUCACUGCRGCACAGCCGUAGCAUCAGUUCGGCUCUGCAACCAGGGUAUUGUUUGGUGUUGGAAAAUCCCUCCCUCCCGCUGAGAAGUGGCUCCAUGGCAGCCCGUGAAUAUUACUCCACCAGCCAAGCUCAGUCUGCAAAUGACGUYGUGAGUCACUGCACUCCCCGCAAGUCUGCAGUCCCCAGAAUGUGCAUCUGUCUGCCCGUGGCAACUGCUUGGGGCUGGUGUGAUGCUUGGCAAGUUCAGCUGACUCCGAGUGGCCUCGUACCUGAAUUAUCUCCUGUCAAGCAUCAAGUCAAGUAUGAGUGAAACUGCAAAUGGGAGUCUAUUAAAGUUUCACGUUUCUCCACUGGAAUGCCAUAGAUUAGAGAAGUUUUCAGAAGACACUGAUUGCUGAAUAUGGAGCUCUGUAAUGCAUUAUCUUUUCCUCUGUGAUAAUAAAACUUUGUCUUUAGUCA